UGUGGUCUAGGAGCUUACACAACCUUGCAUGCAUUCAGUUGGUGUGAAGAUGGAUUGGAUUGCCCUGUUGAAACAACAGUGAAAGCUAGGGGAUCAUCAGAAGGUCAAUGUGGCUUACAGCAGUUUAAGCAAGGAAGUUUACCAAUUAGGAACUCGAAAGGUGAAAGGCCUGAAGUAGUGGGUUUUGAUGGUGAAUCCAAUGUUGAUGGAAAUCAUUUAGCCUCAGCUAGUCAUUCUAGAGAAGUUACAAGAGGAUUGAAACCCCGAUUAGGUCACAAUGUUCCUUGUACUGAAGAACAAAGCCGCUUUUUUGUUUAUUGUAAACUAUGUGAUUGUGUGAGGCCAGCAAAACUGCGUGUCAGCUGUAAGAAGUGCGGGAAUGGUGUUUUCUUGGUUGAUAGAGGCCCAUCCAACUGGGAUGAUAUCUCUCCAUCAACUAACAUCAAAGGAAACUGCAAAAGUCCAAACUGU